AAUGAACGCUGGCGGCGCGCCUAAUACAUGCAAGUCGAGCGAGAAGACGUAGCAAUACGUUUGUAAAGCGGCGAACGGGUGAGGAAUACAUGGGUAACCUACCCUCGAGUGGGGAAUAACUAGCCGAAAGGUUAGCUAAUACCGCGUACGCUCCUUGGACUUCGGUUCAGGGAGGAAAGCGAUACCGUGGGUAUCGCGCUCUUGGUUGGGCUCAUGUCCUAUCAGCUUGUUGGUGAGGAACGGCUCACCAAGGCUUCGACGGGUAGCUGGUCUGAGAGGACGAUCAGCCACACUGGCACUGCGACACGGGCCAGACUCCUACGGGAGGCAGCAGUAAGGAAUAUUGCGC
rnacentral:rRNA from 1 species